AGUUACAUCUCCUAGCUCAUCUCUGUCCUUCUUUAAAGGUAAGAUCACUGAUUCUCCCUGUCAGCACAUAGUAUUUAUAAAUAAUGAUGUCAUUUUUUAAUGUUAUUGGUGACUGAGUUACGGGUGGAAUUUCCUGUAAUAUACCUUCCUUAAAUCCACAACCAUGAUUAUCGUCUGAAGGCUUAGAUAUGUACUUUUGUCUGCACAAUGUCCAAAAUUGAUAUUCAAUGGGAUUAUUUCAAUUGCCAAAAUUGAUAUCCUGUAAUAUACCUUCCUUAAAUCCACAACCAUGAUUAUCAUCUGAAGGCUUAGAUAUGUACUUCUGUCUGCACAAUGUCAGCCAAAAUUGAUAUUCAAUGGGAUUAUUUCAAUUGCCAAAAUUGAUAUUUUUUUUGUUGCAUAUGCUGCUUUUCCCCAUCUGGUGAGGAGGGAAUAAAUUGCCUCGUUGACAUUCAAAUACAGGUAU
rnacentral:lncRNA from 1 species